AACUCUCAGCGCACUUUUUCAUCUAUAUUACUUAUUUACUUCUGUGUGUUGAGCCCAAAUCUGCCAACAUGUGAGUGUUCCAUCCUUUGAUCUCAUUUUCUGGGAGGAGCACAAAAAAAAAUGUGGCUUCUUUGAAAGCUCUUCAUGUAUUUAAAGAUCACUCUCAAGCCCGCAGUCAACCUGGAGUAGGCAGAUGAAGCAACUGGGGAAAAGACCUCUUGACCUACCAACAAACAGUCACUGACACUGUCAAGGUCAGAGGUGGUGAGAGACACAGAUUGCAGGUAUCUUUGUAAGUUCCAAUUCGUCCCCCACACCAGGUUCAGCUUGCCUUCACUCUCCCCUGAGUCACUUUGAGUUUGGUUCUACUGACCUACAGGAAGCUUAUUCCCACCACUGAAUUCAAGGGACAAUCUUCCCAUAUGUCUUUACCAACUCUCGCAAAUGAAGACAGAGUCUAUGUUGUUCAGGCUGGCCUCAAACUCCAGGGCUCAACAAAGCCUCCUGCCUCAACUUCCCCAGUAGCUGGGACUACAGCAAAUAUCUUCCACUGAGAUCAUGUGGUUUUAAUCAUACAGGGAGAGUGGCAGAAGAACAGAAAGAUUGAAACCAAGAACAGAGAACACCUGAAAUUGCUUCAGGGUCAUAUGUCACAGCUCUGGGCAUUUCAUUUGGGUGAGUGAAAGGAGGGAAGGGAGCAAUGCUGGGAAGGUUUAAAAUCUCCAAGUGAUAUACGAGGAAAAAGGCUGUGCUCGUCACAAAAGAGGACCUUGACAAUAGACUCCACCUUGGAGCAGCUGCUGUGUCCCCCGUAGGAUGAUCACAGCACAUUUUCCUUGUCAGACUUGGAGUCUGCACCAGGGAGUGCUCAGGAAGGGACCAGUACAAUGUUGGGGAUCUGCCCUUGAGCCUCCAAGCCGUGCGAUGGGUGGAGACGUCACCCCAAGACACUCACAAAUCCUUUUGGCACACGCUUCAGGAAGACCAUCUGCUUUUGUUGUUCCUCUGACCUUUUGUUAGCACCCACCCUAAAUUGGAAAUAAAUUGCCAGAAGAAAUCUGAAGCCUAAAGCAGUUUUAGACCCUGAUGUCAAAGCAAGUCAAAUUAGUAUCUAUCAUCAUUCCCAUUCUGCAAUGAGGAAAUGCUGUCAGAGUGGCUAAGUAAUUUGCCCACGGUCUCACAUAGAAGCCUGUAUUCUCCAGGGAACACAGCACUCAGAGCCAUCUUGGCCCCUGCAUAAGCCUGCAUGAGCCUGGGCUCUGGGGACCCAUCCUGGUGCAUCAUUCGUUGGCUUUGUGACAAUGGGCACAUCGUUUAACCUCUCUUGGCUUCAUUCUCCUUACUGGAAUGAUGUAGAGAGUUUUGCCUAUUUCAGAGGCUUGCUCUUCUAUACAUGAGCCUAUAAGUAACUUGUCUUAAGAAUUUCCACUCCUUCCGUACUCUGAUUUAAAUUUGAAGGCAUCAAAACAAAAGCAAUCAACAUUUCAGAUUCCAAAUACUUCCAUUUUCAUCUUUUAUUAUGAUUAGAAUUUCUUCUGAAUGUAUUUCUGUUUUGUAAUUUUAGCAUUGCCCUAAGGGGGGAAAAAGGCAGUUUAUCACCAUGCAGAAUAUUUUUCAGACAGCCUCUCUUUGACAAACUGAUUUUUGUCAGUCUCAACUGACUUACCAAUUCCAAAUCCCAGGGCUUCCCUGGGAAACUUCCUUGGAUCAUGGCUUUGCCACACAGGACCAACAUCCCAGAGCCCAAAGCAACCUGCUAUAAACUGAGAUCAUUGCUCAGCAAGCUGGUACCACAUGCGAGGAGUCUCAAGAGCUAACAGGAAAUGAUUCAAGACCAGAAUUAGCCAAAGCAAGUGUGUUAGCUUCCUCUGCGCAUGGGAUAAUAAGGAGCUUGCAUCACCAACCUUCCGUGAAUAGCCUACUCAGUGAUUCAACAGGUUUCAAAAAUUGUGAAA